GCCAUUCAUCAAGAGUUGGGAAACCACGCCAACCUGCCUGCCGGUAAGGUGGUUUGCAUAAGCAGAUGCGGCCUUCGGGCAAUGACAGGUAUCCCG
rnacentral:ncRNA from 2 species